rnacentral:rRNA from 1 species
GAGGAGCUUGCUUCUCUGAUCAGUGGCGAACGGGUGAGUAACACGUGAGUAACCUGCCCCUGACUCUGGGAUAAGCACUGGAAACGGUGUCUAAUACCGGAUACGAGCUUCAGCCGCAUGGCUAGGAGUUGGAAAGAAUUUCGGUUGGGGAUGGACUCGCGGCCUAUCAGCUUGUUGGUGAGGUAAUGGCUCACCAAGGCGACGACGGGUAGCCGGCCUGAGAGGGUGACCGGCCACACUGGGACUGAGACACGGCCCAGACUCCUACGGGAGGCAGCAGUGGGGAAUAUUGCACAAUGGGCGCAAGCCUGAUGCAGCAACGCCGCGUGAGGGACGACGGCCUUCGGGUUGUAAACCUCUUUUAGUAGGGAAGAAGCGAAAGUGACGGUACCUGCAGAAAAAGCACCGGCUAACUACGUGCCAGCAGCCGCGGUAAUACGUAGGGUGCAAGCGUUGUCCGGAAUUAUUGGGCGUAAAGAGCUCGUAGGCGGUUUGUCGCGUCUGCUGUGAAAACCCGAGGCUCAACCUCGGGCCUGCAGUGGGUACGGGCAGACUAGAGUGCGGUAGGGGAGAUUGGAAUUCCUGGUGUAGCGGUGGAAUGCGCAGAUAUCAGGAGGAACACCAAUGGCGAAGGCAGAUCUCUGGGCCGUAACUGACGCUGAGGAGC